UAGAAUAGUUUUGAGUUUUUUUUUUUCCGUUUAUUUGAGAUUUGUAUGCUUGAGAAAUUCUAUCUCAGUUGAGAGCGAGUUUUAUUGUCGACGGGAGUGGGUUUCUUACAAGUUACCUUGAUAAUUGUUAAGGAGCAUCGUACUUUUCUCUUAUUUCAGGUGGCAUACUUGGCAUUGGAAAAACGUUACAACUUCACUCUUGAUGAUCUUAAUGUUGUUGCAAAUGGGUAUUCACGCUUCCGAAGUUAUCUGAGGGAUGAAGGAGAAUGCAAUGAUCUAAAAAGCAGAUCGUUGCCCUGCUUUGUUGGCAAGCUCAUUGAUCUUACACAGAUUCCACAAUACGUGAGAGAGUACGACAGAGGAAAUGAUGUCGAGCUUUGGCAGAUAAAGUACGAGAAGCGGAAACCCUAACCAGCUUCUGCUUGUAGACAACCUUCCAUUUUUGUAGAACCCCAAUUACCACAUUUUUUUUUUUACUUCUGUUAUUUGGAACUGCAUUCUGGGAAGGAAAGUGCCUUUUUUUCCCAAACUGUCAAAUGACUGUCUGUUGUAUCUAUAACUAACUGUUUGGUUGUUUGAGGUUCAUUUUAUGCAAAUAUAUAUUUACUCAUUUCCAAUA